rnacentral:rRNA from 1 species
GACAGAGGUCUCAAGCGUUAGGCGGAAUCACUGGGCUUAAAGCGUGUGUAGGCGGAUUCCUAAGUACCUUGUGAAAUCCCCGGGCUUAACCCGGGAACUGCUUGGUAUACUGGGUGUCUUGAGCCAACUAGGGGCGACCGGAACAAACGGUGGAGCGGUGAAAUGCGUAGAUAUCGUUUGGAACGCCAAUGGUGAAAACAGGUCGCUGGGGUUGUGCUGACGCUGAGACACGAAAGCCAGGGAGCGAACGGG